UGGUAAACCUUGAAUAGCUUAUUUAAUCAC
rnacentral:piRNA from 1 species